AACAAACGCUGGCGGCGUGCCUAAUACAUGCAAGUCGAACGGGGAAAGCUUUCGGGUGAGUACUAGUGGCGCACGGGUGAGGAACGCGUGGAUAAUCUGCCUUAGAGUGGGGGAUAACUAGUCGAAAGAUUAGCUAAUACCGCAUAAGACCACAGGAGCUGCGGCUCAAGGGGUCAAAGGUUUUUCGCUCUAAGAUGAGUCCGCGUAAGAUUAGCUCGUUGGUGAGGUAACGGCUCACCAAGGCGACGAUCUUUAACUGGUCUGAGUGGAUGAUCAGGAACACUGGGACCGAGACGCGGUCCAGACUCCUACGGGAGGCUGCAGUAGGGAAUAUUGCACAAUGGAGGAAUCUCUGAUGCAGCGACGCCGCGUGAGUGAUGAAGGCCUUCGGGUCGUAAAGCUCUGUCGCAGGGGAAUAACACAAUGAAUGUACCCUGUAAGAAAGGAUCGGCUAACUUCGUGCCAGCCGCCGCCGUAAGAC
rnacentral:rRNA from 1 species